UACGUAGGGGGCAAGCGUUGUCCGGAUUUAUUGGGCGUAAAGAGCGUGUAGGCGGCCCGACAGGUCCGUUGUGAAAACUGGAGGCUCAACCUCCAGACGUCGAUGGAAACCGUCUGGCUAGAGUCCGGAAGAGGAGAGUGGAAUUCCUGGUGUAGCGGUGAAAUGCGCAGAUAUCAGGAAGAACACCCGUGGCGAAAGCGGCGCUCUGGGACGGUACUGACGCUGAGACGCGAAAGCGUGGGGAGCGAACAGG
rnacentral:rRNA from 1 species